CAUAGGAACUAUGAAACCAUUCAGAAAAGUUGCUUCCUCCAGUCAGAGGUUGAGGUUCUGUGGUUCUCUUUCUCCCCAAAGCAGACUGGUGAGGAAAUAGGACCUCAAGGACACUAGUGAUUUCUCCAGGUAACAUGAGUGGGAAAUGGUCAACUUCACUGGAAACCAGGCCUUCCAGCUCCAACAUCUGCACAAGAGGAAGGUGGAGCUUCAGGGAGCUUAGAAGAUGAUUCUGCUAUCAUGCAGCGACUUCACCACUGAGGGAGGUGGAUCUGGCACCGAUGUUUCUUCAGGCUCCCCAAGUAACUUCAGUGUGCACUCGCGCUGGGCAACCAAGAGGAGGGUUGGGAGCUGCUCUUACAAUGCUGUUCUCAUCCAGGAAGUCAUUGCCAAGCCCUGCAAUCAGAUGGUGGCUUCUCUCAGCAAAGACAUGGGUAAGACAGAAUCAGGCCUGCUUGGCACAGAUCUGUCCACUGUUACUUCAAGGUCCCCUCCAACAGGACCUUGAAAACGUACAACCCUCCCAAAACACCAGAUUAGCUUCUCCAUUUUAGAAUUUAAAUGAAGAACUUGCCUGUGUGAUUAAAAAAAUGGGUAUAUGUUAUAUAACUACUAAGAGUUGAGGCUUGAAUUGGGUCCUUGGACUUCCAUGUCCAGUCCCAUGCGUCUGAAGCUCAGCAUGAUGGACUGCAAGAGAAUGCACUUCAGUUAGCAACAUCAUGCAUGAUGUUGAAUGAGGCGCUCGAGGCUAGAGAGAUGGCACCAUGCAUGCAAAGGUGUCCACCUCGGGGCUUUGCCCAACUGGUUAGGUGUAGUGGGACAGCAGCGGGAGAGGGAAGAGCAAGAGUGAUAUGAUAUCUUGGCUCCUAGGAAGUUAGUUGAGAAGAGCUACACCAUUUUGUUCCAGUUUGCCUGGUUUCCCCAAGGAGAAACUGUAACCGAUUUAGAACAGAAAACAAAAUGAAACAAAAAACCCAAUAAAACAAACCAAUGAACACAACCCAAGGAUAACAAAUAAGAUAAAAGUUUGUCUUCAGUUCUUUGGUUGGUCCUUGAAACAGGAUCAUUAUCCCUCCUGACUGCUCGCCUUCAGGUCUCAGGUACCUAGUGUUGCAAACGAUGGUUCCAAAUGGAUCAGAAACCCAUUGGUCAAAAAUCCAGCCAAUUUGCAACCAUUCAGUGGACAGUUACACAUCCAUGUUUGAAGAGCCGAACUGCUUUUCAUUUAUGCUUGGUUUAGGCAGGUUAAGGACAUGCUUCUGCCCAGGGACUCUGCCCAAUC